rnacentral:rRNA from 1 species
GAUGAACGCUGGCGGCGUGCCUAAUACAUGCAAGUCGAGCGAACAGACGAGGAGCUUGCUCCUCUGACGUUAGCGGCGGACGGGUGAGUAACACGUGGAUAACCUACCUAUAAGACUGGGAUAACUUCGGGAAACCGGAGCUUAUCCCGGAUAACCUGCUGAAACGCAGGGGUCAACAGUGAAAGACGGUCUUGCUGUCACUUAUAGAUGGAUCCGCGCCGCAUUAGCUAGUUGGUAAGGUAACGGCUUACCAAGGCAACGAUGCGUAGCCGACCUGAGAGGGUGAUCGGCCACACUGGAACUGAGACACGGUCCAGACUCCUACGGGAGGCAGCAGUAGGGAAUCUUCCGCAAUGGGCGAAAGCCUGACGGAGCAACGCCGCGUGAGUGAAGAAGGUCUUCGGAUCGUAAAACUCUGUUAUUAGGGAAGAACAAAUGUGUAAGUAACUAUGCACGUCUUGACGGUACCUAAUCAGAAAGCCACGGCUAACUACGUG